rnacentral:misc_RNA from 1 species
GGACAAGGACAACUGCAACCAACUCGCCAUUAGAACAUUCUCUAAGCAUAUAGAAAGUAAGAUAUAUUUUCUAAUAUUACUUCUUUUUUUUAACUGAUUAAUAUUACUUACAUGUAUGUAAGUGGUACGGUACAUGAAAGUGUUUAGAAUUAUUCUGCGUGUGGGCCAACAACUACUGUUUGCCACUAUUUACCAAAAUUAUAGCACUAUAUAGAAUUUGUCUCUACUUAGAACAAUCAUUGAAUGUAGAAUCAGAUUAGUGAGUUGUGAAACAAUGAAUAUGGAAUGUAGGCCAUGC